AUGGCUUGGUCCUAUCUCCUCUUAACACUCUUUAUUCAGUGCAGAGGAUCCUGGGCCCAUUCUGUCAUUACUCAGCCAUCCUCAGUCUCCAGGAACCUUGGGCAGAGCAUCACCAUCUCCUGCACUGGGAAUAGCAACAACAUAGGGCAUAGUACUGAGGGAAAAUAUGUACAAUGGUACCAACAGUUCCCAGGAAUGGCCCCUAGAAUCCUCAUAUACCAAACUACCAAGCGAUAUUCUGGGGUCCCUGAUCGCUUCUCUGGCUCCAGUUCUGGCAACCCAGCCUCCUUGACCAUCACAGGGCUCUAGUAUGAGGAUGAGGCUGAUUAUUAUU